UCUAGCCCUCAUUUAACCCAACAACUUUGUGGAAUCUUUUUUGUUAUCAGAUUAUACAGAAGAGGAAAUAGAGACUGAGAGGUUACAUUACUAACCCGUGCUCAUGCCCAGAGUGUAUAUGGACACCAGGAGACAAAUUCGGUCUGGAACGGAGAAGCAGUGAGCAUCUCGGGCAGCAGAGGGGCACUGCCAAGCUCCUUCCUCAGAAACUACACUCAGCAUCUCAGCAUCCAGUCACCACAGCUUUGAACUGUGUCUGUGAGCAUCUGUGCUUUAUCUCAAUUUAUUCUGUGCAUCUGCCAGCAAGUCCUAGCCCUCCAUGACGAAGCUUCUGGCAUCUGCUGAUGGAUGAUAAUGUAUUCGGUAUUAGGAGACUGCACAGCCUAACCCCCAGGAAAAAUGAUUGCGCAAGGACAUUACCAGCACCACAGCCUGUUGAUGAGACAAAUCUGACGAUUUGAUGAGACCACUGCUUGCAGCCGUACAAUAACGCCAGCUCUGCGAAGCUUCGACAGUGCCUGUGAGAAGAGAAAGUCCGCAGGUUUUUGUUGGAAGAAGCGAUGUCUGAAGUGCCCGGGUGGGACCUGGCCCUUGAGAAGCGCACAGCUGUAAAUUCUCCUCAAGGAGAUAAUGUGGAACCUGUUUUCAACACGGAUUUUAGAGAGGCUGAUGGACAGGAUGGGCUGUUUCCAAGACAAACUUACAGUUUUGAGGUUCUGACUGGAAAUCAAAACCUACUGUCCAGAAGGCAUUCAGAAUUUGAGACCCGUGAAUCCUGGAGCAGAGCAGUGAAAGACACAAGGAUCACUGGCCCUGAAGCAGAUACCACCA